rnacentral:rRNA from 1 species
UACGAAGGGGGCUAGCGUUGCUCGGAAUUACUGGGCGUAAAGGGCGCGUAGGCGGCACUGUUAGUCAGGCGUGAAAGUCCUGGGCUCAACCUGGGAACUGCGCUUGAUACGGCAGAGCUAGAGGAUGGAAGAGGCUCGCGGAAUUCCCAGUGUAGAGGUGAAAUUCGUAGAUAUUGGGAAGAACACCGGUGGCGAAGGCGGCGAGCUGGUCCAUUACUGACGCUGAGGCGCGACAGCGUGAGGAGCAAACAGG